CUUCAUUAAAAAUAGUCAACUAGAAUGGCCGAAAUGCCUAUGGACUACCCAAAAAGACGGUGAUCAUGCUACGGGGAGCUUGUUCACCCAGCGGUGGGUCCUAAGCUACCAUCUGCUUUACUAUAACCGGAAAUUGAUGUGUGCAAAUGCUACAAGUUUAGAUACAAUUGCUUGCCCCUUCACCUUGCUGUGUGAGGAUGUACCCGAUGUCAAUGUGGGGAAAAAAAAAAAGAAAGAAACAUAUAUGUUCUCUUGAAAUUAAAGGAUGCACGCUCGCAGUUUUGCUUCUUCAGUCUCUUUCAGAAUAUAGAAUCUAUGGUUGGGCUUCCAAAAAUCACGCAGCAUGGUUGCUAAACUGUGUGCGUCCGAUGUGUGACAACCUUGAUGAUGGAAUUAAAGGUGCUUCCUCAUCAACAUUUAGAUCAGAAGAAUUACUACCUCCACCUCCUCCUC
rnacentral:misc_RNA from 1 species